AUAAACACUGCAAUAGAUCACUUUAGGGGCGUUUUUUUUUAAAACGCCACAACUGUCAAAUUUUUUUAACCAAAACUCCGUCAUUUUAGUUUCAUCCAAUUUAUUCGCUCCCGAUAGCUGUUCUUUUUCCCCUUAACAAAAUUUCCCUCAUUCCAUCUCUUCUCCUUUAAUCCCUAAAUUUUCAUCCCCAAGUUCCCAACCCAUUUGCCACCGAAGACGCCGACCGGACCACCUGUUGCAUCGCCCUCGACUAACCUCUCUGCUGCGUCGCCGUCGCCUGCUCAUCCUGCUCAGACACGAGGUUAUAUUUUUCACAACGGUAAAUUAAAUGGGAAGCGCCAUGUACGACCUUACUACUUUGAGUUCGUCUCUCAUGCUAAUAAACGAUGGGAAGGUAAAACAAUAGUGGAUUUGUUCGCUCAAGAGUUCAGAGGUCGAUCUAGAGAUUACUAUAUUAUUUUUCUAGAAACAAUAUGCAACGAUGAAAAGAUUAUUGAAAGAAAUAUUCACCCUAAAAUUCAACAAAGUCCUGACUAUGCAGAAGAAUUUCGAAGCUGGAUUACAAGACUUUACAACCCGGUUAGCUAAUUACGAAAAGGUUUAUGAACCAGUUGAUGAAGGGUCUUACAUCAAAAUGAUUGAUAUGGCUAGUGGGCAUGGUGGACAAAUACAAGUUAACAACAUCAGUGGCUAUCUUCCUAGACGAAUCGUCUUCUUCUUGGUUAAUACACAUCUGACACCUCGCCCAAUACUACUUACCAGGCAUGGAGAGAGUCGUGAUAAUGUUAGAGGCAGAAUUGGUGGUGACAGUGUAUUGAGCAGUGAUACCGGAGAAAUUUAUAUGAAGAAACUCGCAAACUUUGUUGUGAAGCGACUGAUCUGAAAGGACUACUUCUAUAUGGACCAGCACCCUACAGAGAACAAUUCUGACAGCAAGUCCAAUUGAUGGAUUUCCAAAGGAAAAACCAACUACACUAGAUUGCGGUCCAAGAACAAUUUACAGGAGGCACAUAAUGACUAGCUCCAACCUCUACGAAUGCUUGUGGGAGGCAUUGCAGCAGCGAAUAAGGAUGAUAACAUGCAGUUGACACCGUAUGUGCUAUGAAUCCGAAUUCAGCCACCAAAUUGGAACUGUCCUUUCGAAAUAAUGUGCGAUGCAAGUGACCAUAGCAUAGGAGCAGUCAUUGGGCAAAGAAUCGAGAAAGAAAGAACCACAUGUUAUCUCCUAUGCGUCUAAGACAUUGGAUGUUGCCCAAAGCAAUUACUCGACCACCAAAAAUUUUUUUCUAGCUAUAGUCUUUGCUUUGGAAAAUUUUCAUUCAUAUUUAUUAGGGACUAAGAUUGUUGUUUUCUCUGACCAUACAGCUCUUAAAUAUUUGAUCAGGAAAAAGGAAGCAAAAGUUCAAUCACGGAAUAAAGGAUAAGAAAGGACGCAAAAAUUUGGUAGCUGACCAUCUAAGCCGAAUGCCUCCUUGGAAGGAUGUCACACUACUUAAAGGUGAUUUUCCGGAUGAAAGUCUACUUGUUGCUCAAACGGUUUUCCCUUGGUGCGAAGACAUGGUGAAUUACCUUACUAUAGGUAUAGUCUUUUCAAACUUAUUGCGAUCUGAAAAAGAUAAGAUCAAACGUGAAUCACGAUACUAUGUAUGGGAUGACCCCUACCUUUUAAACACUGCUCCGAUCAGAUUUGGCACACUGCAAGCAUUGAUCAGAGAUUGGGAACGCAUUUUUGCAAUAAGUGCUGCCUAAAUAGCUCGAGGACCAACGGACGUCGGAGCCAACGAUCACACUAUCAGCCGAAGCAGUCGGUAUAGUUAGAUUACUUGUUUUAAGUAUGGCAUGUAUAGGGCUGAGGCUUUAAUGUUUUGUGUCAUUGAGAAUUGGCUAAAUGUGUUGGCUUGGACUAGAACCCUUUAUUUUGUAUAAAGCCUUGAAUGAGGGCUAAUACUCAUUUUUUUAUAUAUACAUAAAAGAUGUUAUUUUAAUGGAUGAGUAUAUUGCAUAUGAAAAA